rnacentral:sRNA from 1 species
ACAAUGUGGCAGUGGGAGAAUUAAGGAUGAGAUGAUUGCAUUAGUUCAUUGACCAUCCCUGAGCAACUGAAACACAAUCAUAGGUAAUCCUCGGCCCCUGCCUACAAGAAGCAUGGGUCUAGUUUAGUAGCACUGCCAACCGGACCGACCAUUUACACUUGUGUGUGAAAUGGGGCAGAGCGGGGAGAAGAGUGCCUGAGCUCACAGCGUUGGCGGGGCGCAGUGAGGUCCGCCAGGAAGGAGAGAAGGAACGUCCCUCUCUGCAACUCAUCUAAGGGCCUGCUCGGACCCCGGAUCUCACAGCGAGAACUACCGCCUCACUACACCCGCCUUUCCCCGCGCCACCCAACAGCUCCGACAUCUCACCCUCAGGGAGCUGGGCGGGGCGAAGCGGAAGGGGAGGGGCCGACACAACCACGCCCACUAGUCGCGCUCCAAGGCCGCGGCCCCCUUACCGCGAGAACGCGGAGUCCCGCGGACGGCGCACGCACAAACCUCCUGUGACGCCUGCGCCUCCUGGCCCCGCCCUCCGCUCGUGGGAGUGCCGGAUGUUUAGCGUUACCAUGGAGCCUGGAGGUGCCAGCGAACGCUGCUUGUCGCCUGGGCAACCGGAGAGGACGAAGCAGGACCUAGGUGGCGGCGGUGGUACCGGCUGCAAUGGUGUCCAAUCCCGUUCAUGGCCUGCCCUUUCUUCCGGGCACGUCCUUUAAGGACUCUACGAAAACAGCCUUCCAUAGAAGCCAGACGCUGGGCUACAGGAAUGGCUAUGCAAUUGUUCGACGUCCAACAGUUGGGAUAGGCGGAGACCGGCUCCAGUUCAACCAGCUGUCCCAGGCUGAGCUGGAUGAGUUGGCCAGUAAGGCACCAGUCUUAACUUAUGGCCAACCUAAACAAGCCCCACCUGCGGAUUUUAUUCCUGCGCAUGUGGCCUUUGACAAAAAGGUACUGAAAUUUGAUGCCUAUUUCCAAGAAGAUGUUCCUAUGUCAACUGAGGAACAGUAUAGGAUCCGUCAAGUGAACAUUUACUAUUAUCUAGAAGAUGACAGCAUGUCUGUCAUAGAGCCUGUUGUAGAAAAUUCUGGAAUCCCUCAAGGCAAGUUAAUAAAACGCCAGCGGCUAGCCAAGAAUGACCGGGGCGACCAUUACCAUUGGAAAGACCUAAAUCGAGGAAUAAACAUCACAAUUUAUGGCAAAACUUUCCACGUUGUUGACUGUGACCAAUUCACACAGGUAUUUUUAGAAAGCCAAGGAAUUGAAUUAAAUCCACCAGAGAAGAUGGCUCUUGAUCCUUACACUGAACUCCGAAAACAGCCUCUUCGUAAGUAUGUCACCCCAUCAGACUUUGAUCAACUCAAGCAAUUUCUCACCUUUGACAAACAGGUAAGUGACACAGGAACCGCAGUAGGCUUACUUAUUUCCAAAUGUGACCUAUGUUUAUUGGCAAAAGGUUUGGGUAGCUGUAUUGGUAACUGUUUUGAAACAUUACAGCUAUAAUUGAACUGUUUGGGCACAGUACUGUCUUUCUGCUUUUGUCAAGGGUUACAGGUACAGGAAUGCCUGCAUUUCAUAUGGAGAUCCAAAGAAGAUUGUGGAGUUGCAGAGUAGUUUUGUGAAUCUCACCAAACAUUUAAAUCUCAAAACAAUUUCUGAGCUACAUCUGCUUCCCACCUUACGUUUCCAAUUGACAAUUUCUUUCCCUUAAAAUGAGCUAAUUUCAUAGACUCCUUUGCGAAACCAUAAAUCAAUUAUUAGAAAACUUCAAAAAUAUGCAUAUAUGUAGGUUCUAAUGUUAAAAUGUUUAAUUUUACAGAAGCCCCACUACAGAUGCUUCCUUGUUAAAUGUUACAUUAAUAUUGGAGUCCAGAAUGUUCUGAGCAUUUUCCAACUCUGUUCCAACCUUUCUAAUCCUCUCCCUUGUGAGCUGAUGUGUAUAAGCAGAUUUAAAUCCUUCCCUUUCUGUACUAAAGGGAGAAAGAAAAGGAAGAGAUCACCCUCAGUGCUUCUUUGCUGCUCCUUUUCUUUAGACAUUUAACCCCUUUUAGUUCAGAAAAUGUAAACUAGCACUAGCAUGGUCUUUUAAGGAUUUUGUUCAUAUCAGUCAUAUAUCUGUUAUUAUUUUAUAUUUAAAGAUUAUGUUUAUUCCCACGAUUUGAAGAAGCCUAGCCAAAAAAAAAGAAAAAAGAUUUUGUUUAUAUUAUUGCUAGAAGUUAUGUGUUGAUGGGACCAAAAAAAGACUGGUUAAUAAGUAAAAAUUUUUUCUAUACUAAUUAUAUAUAAACCAUAUUCACAUGUACCUUUAUUAAUAUAUAUAUACCACUAUGUAAAGAACUUCAUUGCUCUUUUAAUUUAGCUUCUCUUUCACUGACUAAUAUUUUGGAUCAAAGUGAGCUCUUCUUUUUUGGCACAAACUUAUAAUCCUAUUAUUUAAUUCUUUCCAGCUGCUGACAUAUAGUACAUAAUUUCAGAUGUUUUAGUAUGUUUGAUGAAUAUUUCUUUUUUUUUCAAUUUACCCCAUCUGAAAUUACUUCAUAGUCUUUCCAGCUAAUCUUUCAAUCAUUGAUACAUAAUUGCCAAAGUAACCGAGCUGAACUCCCUACUUUUAAGAUUCUUGAGUCACUACUUUGGAUUCUUCAAAGGUCCUUCGAUUCUAUGCGAUCUGGGAUGAUACAGACAGCAUGUAUGGUGAAUGUCGGACCUACAUCAUUCAUUACUAUCUUAUGGAUGAUACAGUGGAAAUUCGAGAGGUCCACGAACGGAAUGACGGGAGAGAUCCUUUCCCACUCCUAAUGAACCGCCAGCGUAUGCCCAAAGUUUUGGUGGAAAAUGCAAAGAACUUCCCUCAGUGUGUGCUAGAAAUCUCUGACCAAGAAGUGUUGGAAUGGUAUACUGCUAAAGACUUCAUUGUUGGGAAAUCACUCACUAUGCUUGGGAGAACUUUCUUCAUUUAUGAUUGUGAUCCAUUUACUCGACGGUAUUACAAAGAGAAGUUUGGAAUCACUAAUUUACCACGUAUUGAUGUGAGCAAGCAGGAACUACCUCCGGUAAAACAGGAGUUGCCUCCUUAUAACGGUUUUGGACUAGUGGAAGAUUCUGCUCAGAAUUGUUUUGCUCUCAUUCCAAAAGCUCCAAAAAAAGAUGUUAUUAAAAUGCUGGUGAAUGAUAACAAGGUGCUUCGUUAUUUGGCUGUACUGGAAUCCCCCAUCCCAGAAGACAAAGACCGCAAAUUUGUCUUCUCUUACUUUCUAGCUACCGACAUGAUCAGUAUCUUUGAGCCUCCUGUUCGCAAUUCUGGUAUCAUUGGGGGCAAGUACCUUGGCAGGACUAAAGUUGUUAAACCAUACUCUACAGUGGACAACCCUAUCUACUAUGGCCCCAGUGACUUCUUCAUUGGUGCUGUGAUUGAGGUGUUUGGUCACCGGUUCAUCAUCCUUGAUACAGACGAGUAUGUUUUGAAAUACAUGGAGAGCAACGCUGCCCAGUAUUCACCAGAAGCACUCGCAUCAAUUCAGAACCAUGUCCGAAAGCGAGAAGCACCUGCUCCAGAAUCAGAAAGCAAGCAAACUGAAAAGGAUCCAGGCGUGCAGGAAUUGGAAGCAUUAAUAGACACAAUUCAGAAGCAACUGAAAGAUCACUCAUGCAAAGACAACAUUCAUGAGGCAUUUCAAAUUUAUGACAAGGAAGCUUCAGGAUAUGUGGACAGAGACAUGUUCUUUAAAAUCUGUGAAUCGCUUAACGUCCCAGUGGAUGACUCCUUGGUUAAGGAGUUAAUCAGGAUGUGCUCUCAUGGAGAAGGCAAGAUUAACUACUAUAACUUUGUUCGUGCUUUCUCAAACUGACCUGCUGAUGAGAACAUGCAAGACAAUUUUUGAUAUUGGAACUAUGCUUUGAAAUACACCUUACACUCUUCAUAGAGGCAUUUACAGAGUUCCUGAAGUUUUAUUUCUGUUUUGGUUCUUAUUUCACUGCUACUGAAGUCAAAACUAAAUUGGAUC